rnacentral:rRNA from 1 species
ACAUGCCUACAACAUAGUGUUAAUGCAUCGGAUUCCAUUAGAACUUCGCAGUUAAGCACACUCAGGCUAGAGUAGUACUGGGAUGGGUUAUCGCCCGAGAAGUCCUAGUGUUUUACAUGCC